UACGUAGGGUGCAAGCGUUGUCCGGAUUUAUUGGGUUUAAAGGGUGCGUAGGUGGCUUAAUAAGUCUUGGGUGAAAGUCUACGGCUCAACCGUAGGAUUGCCUGAGAUACUGUUAAGCUUGAGUUUGGUUGAGGCAACUGGAAUUGGUGAUGUAGCGGUGAAAUGCAUAGAUAUCACCAGGAACGCCGAUAGCGUAGGCAGGUUGCUAAGCCGAUACUGACACUGAGGCACGAAAGCGUGGGGAUCAAACAGG
rnacentral:rRNA from 1 species